GACGAACGCUGGCGGCGUGCUUAACACAUGCAAGUCGAGCGGAAAGGCCCUUCGGGGUCCUCGAGCGGCGAACGGGUGAGUAACACGGGAGUAACCUGCCCCAGACUUUGGGAUAACCCUCGGAAACGGGGGCUAAUACCGGAUACGACACAGCUUCGCAUGGGGUCUGUGUGGAAAGUUUUUCGGUUUGGGAUGGGCUCGCGGCCUAUCAGCUUGUUGGUGGGGUGAUGGCCUACCAAGGCGACGACGGGUAGCCGGCCUGAGAGGGCGACCGGCCACACUGGGACUGAGACACGGCCCAGACUCCUACGGGAGGCAGCAGUGGGGAAUAUUGCACAAUGGGCGGAAGCCUGAUGCAGCGACGCCGCGUGAGGGAUGACGGCCUUCGGGUUGUAAACCUCUUUCAGCAGGGACGAAGCGUAAGUGACGGUACCUGCAGAAGAAGCGCCGGCCAACUACGUG
rnacentral:rRNA from 1 species